rnacentral:rRNA from 1 species
UACGGGGGGGGCAAGCGUUGUUCGGAAUUAUUGGGCGUAAAGGGCGGGUAGGCGGUUGGUUAAGUCCUUCGUGAAAGCCCACGGCUCAACCGGGGAAGGGCGGGUGAUACUGUUUAUCUUGAGUCCGGGAGAGGGGGGUGGAAUUCCCGGUGUAGCGGUGAAAUGCGUAGAUAUUGGGAGGAACACCGGUGGCGAAGGCGGCCCCCUGGACGGGUACUGACGCUGAGGCGCGAAAGCUAGGGGAGCAAACAGG